GUAGGUGGCAAGCGUUGUCCGGAAUUAUUGGGCGUAAAGCGCGCGCAGGUGGGUUCUUUAAGUCUGAUGUGAAAGACCCCCGGGCUCAACCGGGGGGGGGUCAUUGGAAACUGGGGAACUUGAGUGCAGGAGAGGAAAGUGGAAUUCCACGUGUAGCGGUGAAAUGCGUAGAUAUGUGGAGGAACACCAGUGGCGAAGGCGACUUUCUGGCCUGUAACUGACACUGAGGCGCGAAAGCGUGGGGAGCAAACAGGAUUAGAUACCCUGGUAGUCCACGCCGUAAACGAUGAGUGCUAAGUGUUGGGGGGUUUCCGCCCCUCAGUGCUGCAGCUAACGCAUUGAGCACUCCGCCUGGGGAGUACGGUCGCAAGACUG
rnacentral:rRNA from 1 species